rnacentral:lncRNA from 1 species
CUUUUAACCAAAAAAAAAAAAAAAAGAGGGAGGAAAAAAAAGGCCACGCUUGACUGAUAAUGCAUUGCUUUGGAUGGUGAAACAUUAUGAAAGUUUAAUUUUUAAUUAAAUCUGAAAUACCAAUUAUAACUGAAAGAGAUUUUAACCUGUUUCUUUUCAGACUGCCUGAAGUUACAUUGUAGAUGCUGAAAUCACUGCACCUUAAAAACAAAAAGAUUAAACUGCACUGCAUUCUUACAAAUUGCCUUCGUGGUCCUGGUCCUUUGGUUCCACACAAUCAUCGACUGAGCUGAAGGAGAUCUCCCUAUAGCUAAUGUUGGAAUUUUUGGACUGUGCAUCUGUUUAGGCACGUGGAGAAAGACAAGACUGAGAUCAUACUGCUGGAGAAAGGACACUGCAAGGGACGAAGUGACUCUGCUAUCACACAGCUCAAACUGCUUCAAAGGUCUGCCCAGUGUGCAGUGGUUGGCAGUUUUCCUCAACUUUGCAAGAGAGACAGAGAGAUUUGGUUGGAAUGAAACCUUGCUCUCCGAACAGUCUGCUUGAGAUGCAGCAUUGAAAGUCACCAUGUAUCAAAAAAUACACAUAUGAUGAUACAUCAUAUGUCAGGGGAAAAAGCAGACUACACCCCGUGCAGCCAUCACACCUUGAAAAUAGACAUAAAAUGGUAAGUCAAUAUGAAUACACAGCUCCUAACAGCCUAAUAGAAUAGAUCACACCACAGCCAGGUACAUCUGUUCUCAGCACUAACCAUUAUCAUUAGUUUAAAACACUUAAAAUCACUGAGCUUCCUUAGGUCUGGGGACAGAUUAUACCAAGAAGAAUCUGCUAAAUAGAUUUAGCAAUGUAGCAAGCAGGGACCUUGACUACAUUAAAACAAUACAUUUCGCAUCUCAAAGGCUGUAGGCUGUUUUCAGAGGAACAGUCUGAAUGAAGAAUGACACUAACACCGUAUAGCAAUUUCUUUAUCACCGUUUAAAUAUAAAGCUUGAAACUCUUGGACAAACAACUGUGCCAAACUGCAAAACAAUUUGUUUGUGAAAAAUCAGCUAUCCUGUAGCACGUGUUCUCAUCAGCCUUCAGCUUGAGAUGCAAAGACCUGACUGUGACUGGACUUCAUAGCGUGUGGCUGACACAAAGAAUCAAAUCUCUCUUAGGUGGGAAAAGAAAUGAGGAAACAGAAGAAAUAACAAAAUUCUUCUUGUCUAUCUUCCCAGUCCUGGUGUCUGACUGCUGUGAAGUCAGAUACAGGAUCUUGCAGAGGCAUUGAAGUCAGUCAAGUCUUGAAGGCUUCAGAGAAGGUUUCAAAAAAAUAAAAAAGAAGUUUGAUAUACAUGCAUCAGUGACUACUGAAGUAGUACAUUGUUGCUUGUCUAAGACUUGCUGUAAAGGAGCUUUUGAGGAAGGUAUGUGACUGAUUCAGUGGCAAUCAGAAGAAAACUGUUUGGCUCUUCAAAAGAGGUGGAAGUGAAGCUAGGCAAAAUGAUGGCGAUCAAAUUAAACAU